rnacentral:rRNA from 1 species
UCUAUUUGUAGCUAUAAAAAGUCUGGCCUGCCCACUGAUUAUAAAUUUAAAGGGCCGCGGUAUUAUAACCGUGCAAAGGUAGCAAAAUCAUUAGGUUUUUAAUUGGGAUCUUGUAUGAAUGGUUGAACAAAUGAAAUACUGUCUAUUAUAUUAAUUUUGAAAUUAACUUUUAAGUGAAAAGGCUUAAAUGAUCUAAAAAGACGAUAAGACCCUAUAAAACUUUACAUUGUAAUUAUAUUUAAUUGAAUUAAUAAUUAAAAAUUUAAUUUAAUUAUUUGUUAUAUUGGGGAGAUAUAAGUAAAAUUUAUUUUAACUGCUUUAUAGUAAAACAAAUAUGAGUGGGGUAUAAUAAUAGAUCCUUUUUAAAGAUAAUAAGAUUAAGUUACUUUAGGGAUAACAGCGUUAUUUUUUUUAAGAGUUCUUAUCGAAAAAAAAGUUUGCGACCUCGAUGUUGAAUUAAAAUGUCUAUAUAAUGUAGUAGUUAUAUAAGAAGGUCUGUUCGACCUUUAAAU